AUAAUGAUACUCCUCUAUAGCUACAGCCCGAGCGUGCAGCCGUAAUUCAGGCGGUGAGGCGUCGCAGGCAAUAGGUAGGGUCGCGCGAGAACCGCGUGAGGGUGAAAUUCCCGUG
rnacentral:ncRNA from 1 species